UUAAAUAUAAGAUAUCCUUCUUAGCCAGCAUGCAUAUGUAAAUCAAAACUACAAUGAGGUAUCUUCACACCCACCAGGAUGCCCAUAAUCAAAAAUAAAGAUAAUAAGUGUUGGUGAAGACAUGGAGAAAGUAGAAUCUUCAUACACUGCUAGUGGGAAUGUAAACUGGUAUAGUUGGUCUGGAAAACAGUCUGGCAAUUUCUCAAAAGGUUAAGCAGAUGCCGUAUGACCCAACAAUUCCACUCACAGGUAUAUACCCAAGAGAAAUGCAAAUAUAUGUCCACACAAAAACAAGUACACAAAUGUGGGGCACUUGGAUGGCUUAGUUGGUAGAGCAUAUAACUCUUGAUCUCAGAGUUGUGAGUUCAAGCCCCACACUGGGUGUGGGCCCUACUGAAAUUAAUUAAUUAAAAAAAAAUUUAUACAAAUGUUCACAGCAUUAUUCAUAGUGAUCAAAAACUAUAAACAACUCAAAUGCCCAUCAACUGAUGGAUAAAUAAAACAUGGUAUAUUCAUACAGCAGGAUAUUAUUCAGCCAUAAAAAGAAAUAACAUACCAAUACAUGCUACAACAUGGAUUAACCUUAAAAAUGUACUAAAUGAAAAAAGCCAGUCACAGAAGACCAUAUAUGACUUCAUUUAUAUGAAAUGCCCAGAACAGGCAAAUCUAUAGAUACCAAAAGUAGAUUAGUGGUUGGCUAGGACUGAGAGAGAGUUGGAAGGAAAUGGGGAGUGACUGUUAAUGGGUAUGGGCCUUGGGUGGGGAGGAGCACCAGUGAUAAAUAACUGACUACACUCAUGAUUGAGCAACUCUGUGAAUAUACUAAAAAAUUACUCAAUUAUAUAUAUAUAUAUAUAUUUUUUUUAAGUUUAAGUAAUCUCUACAUCCAACAUGAAGCUCAAACUCCCGACCCAGAGAUGAAGAGCUGCAUGCACUUCCAGCUGAGCCAGCCAGGGAUCCCUCAGUUGUACACUUUAAAUAAGUGAAUUAUGUGGUAGAUGAAUUAUAUCUCAAUGAAGUUGUUUAUAUAUAUGUUAAGGAGAGAGAACAUACGCAUACAAGUGAUAAAACAAAACAAAUGGAGCAAAAUGUUAAUCAGCGAAUCUGGAAAAAGGAUAUGUUGAAGAUCUUUCUACUAUUCAUGUGAAUGUUCAGUGUGAAAUUAUAUGAAAAGAAAAAGCUAAAAAAAAUAAGAUAUCUCUCAUGAGAAUCACACACAGUAUUCUUUCUUAACAUAAAACAGAAACCAGGGCACCUGGGUGGCUCAGUCGGUUGAGCGUCUGACUUCAGCUCAGGUCAUGAUCUCGUGGUCUGUGAGUUCGAGCCCUACAUCGGGCUCUGUGCUGACAGCUCAGAGCCUGGAGCCUGCUUCGGAUUCUGUGUCUCCCUCUCUCUCUGCCCCUACCCCACUCAUGCUCUGUCUCUCUC